CAUUAAGAAGCUAUAAAGCAUUAACCUUUUAAGUUAAA
rnacentral:tRNA from 1 species